UGCAUGUUAUUUAAGGAAGGAUGUAAAUGCAUUGAAGACAUUCCAGAGAAGACAUAAGAUGGGUUCCAGAGCGCCUGGGCCAUAGAUUGUUUUCACAGCACUGAAGACAACGCUGCCUGUUAUUGCUGUUCGAGUUCUUGGAUCUUCUGUACUUUUUCUACCCGCAGUUUGAUACUUAUGUUGCGGGAGUUAACAUGAGGAUGUCCUCAAAGCAUCUCUGAAGAGACUGAAUACAGCCACCGACUCAGGGGUGUGUCCAGCUUGUGGUGGACUAAAGUGGAGAAGGCUGGUUUGGGAAUGCACGGAGCACAUUGAGAGAGCACAUCUGCAGAGUCAAAGUGGAGGCACCUCAAGCUCCAAACACCCACCUGACCCUUCAUGCUUUGCCCAUCCCAUCCCACGCCUACAGAUCAUGCAUUUGUCACCUAAUCCAGAGUCAUGUAAGGAAGCCAUUCAUGAUCCUGAGAGAUUGCUGAAGAAUGAGAGAGGCAGGGCUGUCUUCUCAGUCUUGGCCAGGUCCUCUGCUACCAUUUGAAGUACUUGUUCUGUAAGCGGAUGUCAAAAGGAGAGAAUUUUCAGACAGCAAUGUCAAAUCAAACGUCAAUAUCUGACAGUCCCAAGAUUCACCAGGACCUGAAAUUCAUCACCCUUUGAAUGUGGAAGAAGAAUUUUUUCUUCGUUCUUUCUGAGGGAAAAGAUUUCAAAUGUCAGUGUAACCAGAAAACUAAGACAACAAACCCACCCGAUUGAGAGUGUCCAAGUGAAUUGACUGCAAAAAGCAUUAAUCAAUUGCACAGACUGAGUGUUCCAGUGAACUGAUUGGAGAAUGAGCUUUAACCAAUUACACUGUCCGAGAUUAAAAAAUCACACCGUUCACUACGGGGAGAAACCAUAUCUGUGUUUUUUGUGUUGACGAGGCUUCAACUGAUCAUCCAACUUAGACACACAAACAACUCCACCAUGGAGAAACCGUGGAAAUGUGGGGACUGUGGGAAAGGAUUCAGAUCCCCAUCUGAUCUGGAAAUUCAUCGACGCAUUCACACCGGUGAGAGACCGUUCACCUGCUCUGAGUGUGGGAAAGGAUACACUCAGUUAUCCAGCUUACAGACACACCAGAGAACUCACACCGGGGAGAUGCCAUUCAGUUGCUCUGACUGUGGGAAGGGAUUCACUCGAUCAUCCACCCUGCUGAAGCACCAGCGAGUUCACACAGGAGAGAGGCCUUUCACCUGCUGUGAGUGUGGGAAAGGAUUCAGCCAUUCUUCCAACCUCCUGACGCACCAGCGGGUUCACACUGGGGAGAGGCCUUUCACUUGCUCUGAGUGUGGGAAAGGAUUCUCUGAUUCAUCGACCCUGCUGAAACACCAGCAAGUUCACACUGACAAGAGACCCUUUAUCUGCCCCAUCUGUGGGAAGUGCUAUAAAAGUUCCAGAGAACUGUCAUGCCAUCAACGUGUUCACACCGAUGAGAGACCCUUCAGGUGCUCUCACUGUGGGACAGGGUUCAAAACGACAUCUGACCUCGCUGUCCACCAGCGAGUUCACACUGGAGAGAAACCAUUCACCUGCUUUGAGUGUGGGAAAAGUUUCACUUAUUCAUCCAACCUCCUGAGGCACCAGCGUACUCACUCAGAUCUGAGAGCCUUUCAAUGUUCUGAUGGUGAGGAGAGCUUUAAAAGCAGCAAUGACUUGCAGACACACCGAUGCACUGAUGCUGGAGAGAGUCCGUUCUCCUGCUGCAAUUGUGGGAAGAGGUUCACUGAUUCAUCCAACCUGCUAAACAAUCAGCAAAGUCACGUUGUGCAGAAGUCAUUUACCUGCUCCGAAUGCGGGAAGGACUCACUUGGGUGUUUACCUUGCUGUAACAGGAGCGAAUUCACUCAGAGAAGAGGCCAUACACUUGAGCCUUGUAUGGGAAGGAAUUCAUUCAUUCUUCCCUCCUGCUGAGACUCCAAUGCUGCCAGAUGCAACAGACAAACCCCGGGCAGUCGCGUUGGAAGAGGCAAUGGAAUAGCGCGAUGACUCCUGUAAGCUCUUUGUGCCGGAUUUCAGAAGGGGAGGAUUCAUAGGCGGGGAACUCAAACCAAAAUGUCACGUCAGGAUCGGACAGAGUGACUCGGUUAAUUGGGACUUGAACACCAUCAGCCUUUGAACGUAGAAGGAGAAUUGCUUUUCUGUUGAUGAAGGCUUCAAACAUCAGUGUGACUGAGAAAUCACUGAAGCACACACAUGGGUUGGUGAUAAAGACCUUUCAAAGCCUGAAAGGAACAGCAUUCACAUCAGGUGGAAAUCACUCUGACUGGACGAGGCUUCAGCUGGUUAUGGGACUUGGAGGGAUACAAGGAUAUACGCCAUGGAGAAACCCUGGAAAUGUGGGGAUUGUGGGAAGGGAUUUAAUUACCCAUCUGAACUGAAGAUUCAUCGGCGCACUCACACCGGCGAGAGACCUUUCACCUGCUCUGUCUGUGGGAAAGGAUUCACUCACUCUUCCCAUCUUGCGACACACCAGCGUGUUCACUCCAACAACAAACCUUUUAAUUGUUCUGACUGUGAGAAGUGCUUCAAAAGCAAAAAGGAUCUGAUAACGCACCAAUAUACUCACACUGGGGAGAGGCCAUUUGCUUGCACAGUGUGUGGGAAGGGAUUUGCACGUUCGUCCACCCUGGUGAAACACCAACGGGUUCACACUGGCGAGAGACCAUUCACUUGCUCCGUGUGUGGGAAGGGAUUCAGUAAUUCGUCAAAUCUUCUGACACACCAGCAGGUUCACACAGGGGACAGACCAUUUAUCUGUUCCAUAUGUAGGAAGGGUUUCACUCGUUUAUCCCACCUACAGACACACCAGCGAGUGCACACUGGGGAGAGGCCAUUCACCUGCUCUGAGUGUGGGAAGGGGUUCACUCAGUCAUCCAACUUGCUCACACACCAGCGAAUUCACAAGUAACAGCAGGGCUUAGACUCUGUUAGUACUGUUUUUAAUCACAUGCAGUACUAAUUACAUUAAUUCAGAGUUUGUUCCCAGUUUGGGAAUCAGUUAGUUCAGUUGGCUGGAGGCUGGCUUGCAGAGUGACACGAAGGGCACGGUUUCAGUUCCCGUACUGGUUGAGAUCACCUUGAAAGUCCCACCUCCUGAACCUUGCCCCUCAUCUGACGGAUGGCAAACCUCAGACUAAACCAGCACCAUCUAGAAAGAUUCUUAGAGAUGUACAGCACAGAAACAGAUCCUUCGGUCCAACUCGUCCAUGCCGACCAGAUAUUCUAAAUGCCCCUCAUGAUUUUAUAAACCUCUAUAAAGUUACCCCUCAGCUUCUGACACUCCAGGAAAAGCAGCCCCAGCUUACUCAGCCUCUACCUGUCACUCAAACCCUUCAACCCUUGCAACAUGCUUGUAAAUCUUUUCUGAACUCUUCCAAGUUUUGCAACAUCCUUCCUAUAGGAGGGAGACCCGAAUUGCAC